AGACGGAGGGGGCUAGCGUUGUUCGGAUUUACUGGGCGUAAAGCGCGCGUAGGCGGCCGGUCAAGUUGGAGGUGAAAGCCCGGGGCUCAACCCCGGAAUGGCCUACAAAACUGACUGGCUGGAGGCCGGGAGAGGAGAGUGGAAUUCCCAGUGUAGAGGUGAAAUUCGUAGAUAUUGGGAAGAACACCAGUGGCGAAGGCGGCUCUCUGGACCGGACCUGACGCUGAGGCGCGAAAGCGUGGGGAGCAAACAGGAUUAGAAACCCCGGUAGUCC
rnacentral:rRNA from 1 species